UGGGGAAUAUUGCAGCAAUGGGCGCAAGCCUGGAUGCAGCCAUGCCGCGUGUGUGAAGAAGGCCUUCGGGCUUGUUAAAGACACUUUCAGCGAGGAGGAAGGUGGUGAGCUUAAUACGCUCAUCAAUUGACGUUACUCGCAGAAGAAGCACCGGCUAACUCCGUGCCAGCAGCCGCGGUAAUACGGAGGGUGCAAGCGUUAAUCGGAAUUACUGGGCGUAAAGCGCACGCAGGCGGUUUGUUAAGUCAGAUGUGAAAUCCCCGGGCUCAACCUGGGAACUGCAUUUGAAACUGGCAAGCUAGAGUCUCGUAGAGGGGGGUAAAUUCCAGUGUAGCGGUGAAAUGCGUUAGAGAUCUGGAGGAAUACCGGUGGCGAAGGCGGCCCCCUGGACGAAGACUGACGCUCAGGUGCGAAAAGCGUGGGAGCAAAACA
rnacentral:rRNA from 1 species